GUCCUUUAAAAACAAACAUUUAUCACACAGAAUGUGCCAUGUGAUUGACUUUAAUUCACUUAAUCCUUACAACUUUGGGGGGAUGUUCUUAAUUUCCAGAAAACGAGGCUCAGAAAGGUUAAAUGACCAGGGUCAUAGAAAAAAAAUGCAUCACAAAGUCAGGAUUUGGUUGCAGAUGGGUCUACUUGAAAACAAAAGCUCUUUCUACCACAACAGGUUAUUUUGAACUGGGGGGGGGCAGUUUUGUUCCAAUUUUACAUCCUUAACUCCUAGCCUAGCUUUUGGCACAGAAUAUCUCGUACAAGUUAGGUAUUACUUGUCUUCUGUUCUUUGUAAAGCUUUCUUUUGUGUACUACAGAGACAGGUACUAACUACAAGCCCGCGAUGGAGAUGUGGAAAUAACAUCCUAAGCACUCCAGUGACUGCGCCACUCUCAAAACUCUCGGCGUCUUCUAGACUCCCAUCUCUAUGGUUGGUAUGUGAGCUGUCUACGCUCCGGAGGACUCAGAGAGCACGGCCAAUCAUUAGAUUACUUUACGUGCACGUGGUCGGAAGUUUGACUUACUAUUGGUUAAUAGCAGUAAAGGCCGCCCAACCACAUCCGGUCUGCUCCUUUAAGUAAUCGCCAUACCGGCAUUUGAGUCUUUCGGCGUCUGCAAAGGCUCGGAGGUCCCAGCCCGGCCGAAGACGUUGAUCUCCGCGUUCUACGACCUUCAUUGUUCCCUGUCCCCAGUUCCCCUCAAUAAAGUGUUUUAACCCCAA